UACAGAGGGGGCAAGCGUUAUUCGGAAUUAUUGGGCGUAAAGGGCGCGUAGGCGGCCUGGCAAGUGACGGGUGAAAGCCCUCGGCUUAACCGAGGAACUGCCUGUCAGACUGUUAGGCUUGAGACCGGGAGAGGUGAGUGGAAUUCCCAGUGUAGCGGUGAAAUGCGUAGAUAUUGGGAGGAACGCCAGUGGCGAAGGCGGCUCACUGGACCGGUACUGACGCUGAGGCGCGAAAGCGUGGGGAGCAAACAGG
rnacentral:rRNA from 1 species